AUUGAACGCUGGCGGCAGGCCUAACACAUGCAAGUCGAGCGGAGCGGCGGACGGGUGCGUAAUACCUAGGAAUCUGCCUGGUAGUGGGGGAUAACGUCCGCUAACGGGCGCUACUACCGCAUACUGUCAGAUGAGCCUCUGUCGGAUUAGCUAGUUGGUGGGGUAAAGGGCUACCAAGGCGACGAUCCGUAAAUGUACUGAGAGGAUGAUCAGUCAAACUGAAACUGAGACACGGUGCAGACUCGUACGUGAGGCAGCAGGGGGGAAUAUUGGACACUGGGCGAAAGCGUGAUCCAGCCAGGCCGAGUGUGUGAAGAAGGGCUUCGGAUUGUAAAGCACGUUAAGUUGGGAGGCGUUACCAACAGAAUAAGCACCGGCUAACUUCGUGCCAGCAGCGGCGGUAAUAC
rnacentral:rRNA from 1 species